AGUAACCUGCCCUGGACUCUGGGAUAACCCCGAGAUAUCGGAGCUAAUACCGGAUAGGACCUUGGAUUGCAUGAUUCCUGGUGGAAAGUUUUUCGGUUUGGGAUGGACUCUCGGCCUAUCAGCUUGUUGGUGAGGUAAUGGCUCACCAAGGCGUCGACGGGUAGCCGGCCUGAGAGGGUGACCGGCCACACUGGGACUGAGACACGGCCCAGACUCCUACGGGAGGCAGCAGUGGGGAAUAUUGCACAAUGGUCGCAAGCCUGAUGCAGCACCGCCGCGUGUGGGAUGACGGCCUUCGGGUUGUAAACCGCUUUUAGUAAGGAAGAAGGGGAGCUUGCUCCUUGACGGUACUUGCAGAAAAAGGACCGGCUAACUACGUGCCAGCAGCCGCGGUAAUACCUAGGGUCCGAGCGUUGUCAGGAAUUAUUGGGCGUAAAGAGCUCGUAGGCGGUUUGUCGCGUCUGCUGUGAAAUCCCGGGGCUCAACUCCGGGCCUGCUUUGGGUACGGCCAAACUUGACUGGUGUAGGGUAGACUGGAAUUCCUGGUG
rnacentral:rRNA from 1 species